AACUCUGAGAUUAUUGUAUCCAUUGGGUAAGUUUUAAGAGAUGAGUUCGAUCAGAUCGUUGAUUCCCAGAGAAGAAGCAGUUGGUCGGCGGCAAGGGUUUUUCUUCGUCGUUCUCAGCUUCUCAUUCCUUCUAAUAUUUCUCUAUGCUGCCGUUAUUUCCAAGCUUCUUCCACCUUCAAACAACGCCUUCUUAUCUGCUAUUCAGAACGACUGGUAUUACUGUCUCCUUGUGCCCUUGACAUUACCUAUCCUUUACGUUGCCGUUUAUUUCCAUUGGUUGAGUAUGAAACUAUUCAAGCAUGCUUGAUCAUAUCGUCGUAUGAAGAUGAAGGUUUCGAGCUAGUUGAGCAUCUAAAUCUUGGGAAGAUUCAACCACCUUCCAUGUCUGGUUGAACAACGAUGUGAUGCGUUUGGAAUUUUCAGUACCUAAGGCAAUAGAGGAUGUACAGGUGAAUUACCGGAGACAUAUGAUGAUCAUGCCGAGCGAAUUCCACAUCGGCAGAGUGUCUUGGGGUGAUUUUUGUAGAGGCUUUUGUUAUGAAAUAUUCAUCCAUAGUGGUUGAAUGGUAUGGAUAUAUCAUUAACUAAGGUCAGUGUCUUCGAAGCCAAUCUAGGGAAAACGAAAACCAGCUUGGCUUAUACAUAUGCACAAUUCUUGAGUCUUGAGAAUUGCUUGAUUCUACUUUCAGUAGUUGUUUGAUCAAAAGUGGCGUGGGGGAGAAUUGUUGCACGAGUCUACCUUUGCCAAAUUCUAAAUUUACAAUAUUAAUGUCAAUUUUAUUGUUUUUAAUUUAUAAAAAAAUCAAUUUUAUUGUUUUUAA